AAUCUUCCGCAAUGGACGAAAGUCUGACGCAGCGACGCCGCGUGAGGGACGAAGGCCUUCGGGUCGUAAACCUCUGUCCUUGGGGACGAUAAUGACGGUACCCAAGGAGGAAGCCCCGGCUAACUACGUGCCAGCAGCCGCGGUAAUACGUAGGGGGCGAGCGUUGUCCGGAAUUAUUGGGCGUAAAGGGUGCGUAGGCGGCUUGGCAAGUCUUGUGUGAAAGGCCUCGGCUUAACCGGGGUAGGCCAUAGGAAACUGCUGAGCUUGAGUGUCGGAGAGGGUAGCGGAAUUCCAGGUGUAGCGGUGAAAUGCGUAGAUAUCUGGAGGAACACCCGUGGCGAAGGCGGCUACCUGGACGACUACUGACGCUGAGGCACGACAGCUGGGGGAGCGAACA
rnacentral:rRNA from 1 species